UACGGGAGGCAGCAGUGGGGAAUAUUGCACAAUGGGCGCAAGCCUGAUGCAGCCAUGCCGCGUGUAUGAAGAAGGCCUUCGGGUUGUAAAGUACUUUCAGUCAUGAGGAAGGUGUUAAGGUUAAUAACCUUAGCAAUUGACGUUAGCGACAGAAGAAGCACCGGCUAACUCCGUGCCAGCAGCCGCGGUAAUACGGAGGGUGCGAGCGUUAAUCGGAAUUACUGGGCGUAAAGGGCACGCAGGCGGUUAAUUAAGUUGGAUGUGAAAUCCCCGGGCUUAACCUGGGAAUGGCAUUCAAGACUGGUUAGCUAGAGUCUUGUAGAGGGGGUAGAAUUCCAUGUGUAGCGGUGAAAUGCGUAGAGAUGUGGAGGAAUACCGGUGGCGAAGGCGGCCCCUGGACAAAGACUGACGCUCAUGUGCGAAAGCGUGGGGAGCAAACAGGGAUUAGAUACC
rnacentral:rRNA from 1 species